GUGGGCCGCUGUUCACCU
rnacentral:miRNA from 1 species